UACAGACUAUAAGUGGGCACACAGGACAGAACAGAAGAUUUUGUGAAUCCUGGAGUUUAGGAAAAAAGGAUAUCAUCCUGUCAGCAGAGAGAGUGGAAUAAUAAGAGAGUCCUCAGAAGUGAUUACAGCAGGGCUACAGAAGUAGCUAACUAAAAAAAUGACAGGGAGAUGGGAAGACACAAGUGGAAGAUGACAAGUGCUCAUGUGCCCUGUUUGGUGAUGAUCAAUAUAUGGCCAGGGGCCACUGUCAGCCAUUUAGAGAUUUCCCAAACUGACACUGUCAUGCAAGCAACAUGACAAAGAUACGGGAAGGAAAUGGAUGGCGUGUACAUGGUGUUGCAGCAGGCAUCCUGCGCUCCUUUAAGAGUUGAAGGUGUGUCCGGAGUUAUUAUGAAUGAAGGAGUCCUGGCGGGAAAGUCAAGAGUUUGGGAGGAUAUCGAGAAACAAGGAGUGGACAAAUGAGUGGCAAAGCAGAAGAACUAUGAGAAACCGGAGGGUACCAGUCCCACCCAGGAGGAAGAGCAGGACCCUGGAAAGCCCAGUGAGAACAGAAAAGCCACACCUACCUCUUCUCGUCAAGACCCAAGCACCACAAGUAAAAGGAGCCCUGGAAGAUAAGAUGGGUACGAAGCGGAAGCAGAAGCAAACAAUGACCAACAGGGAGAUGAACCGUGUUGUCGAAGAACUCCAGGCUCUCGACAUCCAGAUCCAGAAACUCCUGUCCAGACGGAAGCACCUGAGGGAUCUGCUGGAAAAAUCCUCCCCGACAUCAGAAAAUGUCAGAGCAAAUCGCGGUUUGGUAACAUCGAUCUAUCUAUCUAUCUAUCGACUUCAUGCUGUGCCGCUCACUUUCAAGGCCAAGUGAGCUUCACCCCUGCGCCUCGUCGUCGGAGCAAUGAUGCCAACGAUGAAGAAUCUGGCCUGUUUCAGCUAUGCAGGUGGAGGUUUAAGGCUAGAACACCUUCAUCGGCACAGGCAAGCAUCUCCACCCAGAACCAGUUCGACCCUCUCCACGCCCCUAGUUUGCCUUUAGAUGUAUUUGUGAUUGGUGAUUCAAUCAUAAGAAACCUAAACAUCGCCUGCCCUAAUCAGAAAUCUUUUGUCUCUUGUUUUCCCGGUGCUCGUGUCUGAGAGGUUAUGAGAUGUGCGCCAACAGUCUUCGAGAGGAACAAGAACAGGGCAGUGGGAUCUAUUGUGAUACAUGCCGGGGUUAACGACGUGAGACACCGACAGUUGGAGAUUCUCAAGGCGGACUUUGCAGCACUAAUUAACGCCAUGAAGGAGAGGACCCCGGCUGCAAGAAUUUUCAUCUUGGGUCCACUACCUCUCGUUAGAAGAUCAAACGAGUAUUACAGUCAUCUGCUGGCAUUAAACAUCUGGCUGAAAGGCUUCUGCGAGAGUCAAAACAUCGGGUUCAUAGACAACUGGGACCUCUUCUGGGAGAGGCCGCGUUUCUUUAAGCGGGAUGGUCUGCACCCAAAUAGAUUCGGCGCCUGGGUCCUCUCCGAAAACAUUGCUAAGGUAAGUUGUCUCUCUUGACACUCUAUUUUUACUUCUAAUCCCUUCCGUUAUGCUUGUGAUAUUUUGGGUAAGAAAAUCUUCCUCAAAAGUGAACUGCUUUAACACUCUAAUAACUAACUUCAGUGCACGUAAAAAAUGUAGGCAGUGCAGCAUAAAUACGAAUAAUUUAAUUAUAAUUACACCUCUAGAUGAACAAUGCAUUAAAACUAUAAAAAUUGAUUAUAGAUUAAGUAAAAAAUAUGCCCAGAGCGGCGCUAAUAAAAAUAACUUAAUUUCUAUCUCAAAUACCCAUAACGCACAUACAAUUCAGUUCUGCUCUUCUGAAACAUUAAAUAUGGCUCUAUUAAAUGUUAGAGCAUUAACACUAGAAUUACCAGAGCCUAUGAAAAAACUCGUGGAUCCAGCCCACCUUAAAUCCGUUCGCACCUCUCUGUCAGCGUCUUUUGUCCUGUACACUCAGACACUCUUUGGGUCUUCCACGGUAUAACAGUACUAGAAGACUUUUUAACUAUCUUUUCAGGUGCGACUAGGUCAGCAGCAGCUCUCACCUUAAUAUUAAAAUUUUCCACCUUACUAUUUACAUUAUUCUCACUAUUGUAGUUAGCACUACAAAUGGACUGGUUGCUUAAAAUGUUUGUAAAUUUUGAAGCUGCUGAUGAAUCAAAGAAGCGUUUUUUAACAAUAUGCUUUUCAUGAAUAUUUUCUAUCAUUAUUUCUAUAUUAAAUAGUAACAGAAAAUGGUCUGAUAGACCAGUAUCAAUUAUCUGCUUCACAUCAACUUUUAGUACUUUGGUAAUUAGUAAGUCUAACGUAUGACCUGCUUUAUGUGUUGGCUGACUAAUGUGCUGGCUCAAAUCAAGAGAGUCCAGGAGGUUUAUGAAUUCUUUUACUUUCGGGUCACACUGAUUAUCAAUAUGAAAGUUAAAGUCACUGACUAUUAGGAGUGUAUCAUAGAUUGUAAUUACAAUUGACACCAAGUCUGAGAAUUCCUCAAAGAAAGACGCAUUGUAUUUAGAAGGUCUAUACACGGAUAAUACUAGAAACUGAGAAACUCCAUGAAUAACAAUGGCAAGAUACUCAAAGGACUUGAAUUUGCCAAUGCCGACAUCUUUACACUUUAACCGGCUCGAGUAAAUGUUUGCUAAGCUGCCGCCUUUCUUACCUUGGCGAUCCGCAUGAGCAAAGCUAUAAUUUGGAAGCGCAGAUUCGAUUAAAACAGCUGCACCAUCUGAGCUAAGCCACGUUUCACUUAGUGCAAUACAAUCAAUUUUCCUAUCACUAAUAAGAUUGUUGAUGGCUAACAUCUUGUUGGUUAACACUAGAAUUACCAGAGCCUACGAAAAAACUCGUAGAUCCGGCCCACCUUAAAUCCGUUCGCACCUCUCUGUCAGCGUCUUUUGUCCUGUAAAUGUGCCGAUUAAGACAAGCAGCAAGCAGCCUGCUAUUCCAUCCCCCACCGCCACAGACCGUGCACAAACUUCUUCCAGCUCAUUCCUUGAUUGAUUAUCUGGGAGUGAAGUGCUGAAGUUUUACAGUGGAAAUAAUCGAUCAUUAUUUAGAACACAUGCAUUUCACGUGUGUUCCGUUUCUAUAACAAUCUGUGUUAACACAUUAAAUUCAUCUUGGGUCCACUACCUCUCGUUAGAAGAUCAAACGAGUAUUAAAUUCUUUCACCAGGAUAGAUUUACCUGAUUUACAUAAAAUAAUUUCUCAACUGAGACCCUCCACCUGCAUCCUCGACACAAUACCAAUAAGUUUUUUCAAAGAAGUAUUGGGUGUGCUAAUUGAUAAUAUUCUUCCCAGACUGUCUUAAGACUGCCUCAAGUAAAAUAAUCUUGUCUCCUCUGCUUUUGAAAAUUUUAGACCCAUCUCUAACCUGCCUUUCUUAAGUAAAAUUCUAGGGAAGGCAGUCAUUAUGCAGCUUAAUGACCACCUCAAUAAACAUGUUAUUCUUGAUAAAUUUCAGUCAGGUUUUAGAACAAAUCACAGUACAGAAACUGUACUCGUUAAAGUAGUAAAUGACUUGCGGAUAAAUGCAGGCAGAGGCUGUUUAUCUAUUCUCGUCCUCUUAGAUCUGAGUGCCGCAUUUGACACCAUUGAUCACAAUAUUCUUAGAAAUCGCCUUAGUCAAUGGGUGGGCCUCUUUGGCAGUGUCUUAAAUUAGUUUGAAUCCUAACUGGCAGGUAAAAAAUUCUUUGUUAGUUGUGGUAAUUAAACUUCAAAAACACAUGAUAUUCUAUAUGGUGUUCCACAAGGCUCUAUCCUGGGUCUGCUGCUCUUUUCGAUUUACAUGCUUCCAUUAGGUCAGAUUAUCUCGGGGCAUAACGUGAGCUACCACAGCUAUGCUGAUGACACACAACUGUAUUUAUCAAUAGCGCCUGACGACCCUGACUCUCUUGAUUCACUGACACAAUGUCUUACUUGUGUUUCUGAAUGGAUGAGUAGUAAUUUUCUCAAACUAAAUAAAAAGAAAACAAAAACUUUACUGAUUGGCAAUAAUGGAUAUAAUGAGGUUAUUAAAAAUAAACUUGAUGCAUUAGGAUUAAAAGUCAAAAUGGAGGUAAGGAAUUUAGGGGUAAAUAUUGAUUUUGACCUGAAUUUUAAAUCACAUAUUAAUCAGAUUACUAGGACAGCAUUUUUCCACUUAAGAAAUAUAGCAAAAGUUAGACCCCUUAUAACAUUGCAAGAUGCUGAGAAAUUAAUCCACGCUUUUGUUUUCAGUCAACUAGAUUACUGCAACGCUCCCCUCUCAUGGACUACCCAAAAAAGACAUCAAUCAAUUGUAACUAGUGCAUAAUGCAGCUGCUAGAAUCUUAACUAGGAAAAGAAAAUCCGAGCACAUCACUCCAGUUUUGAUGUCACUUCAUUGGUUACCUGUGUCAUUUAGAAUUGACUUUAAAAUACUGCUUAUAGUUUACAAAGCUUUAAAUAAUCUCGCUCCAUCUUAUAUUUUGGAAUGUCUUACACCUUACACUCCAAAUCGUAACCUUAGAUCUUCAAAUGAGUGUCUGCUUAGAAUUCCAAGAGCUAAACUUAAAAGAAGUGGUGAGGCGGCCUUCUGCUGUUAUGCACCUAAAAUCUGGAAUAGCUUACCAAUAGGAAUUCACCAGGCUAAUACAGUGGAGCACUUAAAAACACUGCUGAAAACAUUAACAUGGCUUUCUCAUAGCUUCAUCUUAGUUUAAUCCUGAUGCUGUGUAUAUAUUCGAUUAAUUAUCAUGAUUAUUCAUGGUGGCUCCAAAAUCCGUACUAACCCCUACUUUCUCUUCUGUUCUGUUCUUUUUCCGGGUUUCUGGGGUGGCGACCUGCGCCACCACCACCUGAUCAAAGCACUGUGAUGUCCCUAUAUUGAUGGAUUAAAGGCCAGAAGUCCAAAUGACCGUCAUCAUCAAGUUCUUCCAUGAGAACCCUGAAUACAUUGAGGACUGAUUGAGGUCUUGUGGCCUAGAACCCCUGCACAUUUUAUUUUAUUUCUGCAACCUUCUGGGGGUUUUUUUUGUUUGUUUUUUUCUGUCCUC